rnacentral:ncRNA from 1 species
GUAAAGGCAAUGAAUGUGUAAGUAGACAGCUGUUUUCUUUAAGAGAGAGAGACUCACCGGCUGAAAGGUCUCUUAAGUUCAGACAGUGGUUGAAUUUCCCACAGGAGCCGCACUUAUGAACGGAUUCCUUAGUAGUUUGUGACGUGAGAGGCGCGUUAAGCAUAAAUGAGAGUUUACGGAUAUUAUUCGUGAGAAUAUGGGUGGUACCGCGGAAGUGUAUAUUUCGUCCCUGCA